rnacentral:rRNA from 1 species
GACGAACGCUGGCGGCGUGCCUAACACAUGCAAGUCGAACGGGGUAGAGGCCUUCGGGCUUCUGCUUAGUGGCGAACGGGUGAGUAACGCGUGAGAAACCUGCCUUUCAGUGGGGGACAACAGUUGGAAACGACUGCUAAUACCGCAUAAUGUAUUCGGGGGGCAUCCCUUGAAUACCAAAGCUUAAUGUGACUGAAAGAUGGUCUCGCGUCUGAUUAGCUAGAUGGCGGGGUAACGGCCCACCAUGGCGACGAUCAGUAGCCGGUCUGAGAGGAUGAACGGCCACAUUGGGACUGGGAUACGGCCCAGACUCCUACGGGAGGCAGCAGUGGGGAAUAUUGGGCAAUGGGGGAAACCCUGACCCAGCAACGCCGCGUGAAGGAAGAAGGCCUUCGGGUUGUAAACUUCUUUUAGCAGGGACGAAGAACGUGACGGUACCUGCAGAAAAAGCAACGGCUAACUACGUGCCAGCCGCCGCGGUAA